AUGACUUCAUCAGGCACUGCUAUCAUGGGGCACUGGUAACAAAUAAAUAUCACUUUGGAGGCCAUGUGCAGAUCAGAUUUGGAAGUGACCAAGACUGGAGGCAGGGACACCAGAGUUUUCUGUUAAAAACUGGUCCAUGCAAGAAAAGAUGACUCCUGAAAUAAGACAGUGAUCAUUAGGAUGAAGAGGAAGAGAAGAUUUGAGGAAUACUUAGAACAGAAUUUACUGAAUUUACUGGUUGAAUUGAAUGUGAAGAGGAGAUGAAUAAAGAAGAAAACACCCUCAAAGGAACAAAUAUGAAACAAUCUCUGGAAAAUGGAAUUUGAUUUUGAUUCAACAACAGGAGAAUUCUACUGUUUUUCUCCAGCAGCUCCACGAUAAAAGGGAACCCUGAGCAGAACACAUGCACAAACUCAUGCCAUACCCUAAGGGACAAGGUUCCCCACAUCUACUUGGAAAUCUUUGGGAUGCUCAAUGGAGAAAAACAAGGAGAGAAAAAUCUAAACCCAGCAGAAGAGAAAGUUUAAGAAAGCGGUCGUCGCCAAUACCAAAAUUAGCUAUGAUAUUCAGGAAGAAAAAAAUGGAAACACGAUAACCACAGUCAAUAAAGACCAAGGCCACAUUCCAUUGACCAGAGCUCAGCCACGCGCCACACCUGGCUAAAGAGACUCUGGCUGAAGAAUUCCCUGAAUAUUUUAAUGUAGCUCUAGGUUAUAACACAGAACAACCACAAGGUGGCAGAAGAACUCCAUUCUUGUAAAUCUCUUAGUUGCUUCUUUAUUUCAUCUUCCCUAUUCCAUCUAAUGUUCCCUGAAUUUUACUAUUUUGUUGGUUUGAAAAUAUGUGUGACUUACGUCCUUUAAAGGAUUUGGUUCGUAAGGUUUUGAAUAGACUGGAAUAUAAAACAUUUAUAGAAAAGAAAAAUACCUACAGUAUGAUGUUAGUGAACUAUUAAUAAUCCAAUUAAAUAAAAUAUAUUUGCUUUGGAUUAAUACAUAUUUUGUUUUGAUGUUUGCUAAAUAAAACUAAGCAUUAGGAGGCCAAAUAGCCACAAUGAACAUUUUCAUAUUAUUUAAUAAGCCAGUUUCAAGGCAUACAUGCUAAAUUUGUUCUUAAGGAAAAGUUGAAUUUUUGCUUUCAUGAAAUUACAAACUCUAAGGCAAUUUUACACGUGUAAAUCCAAUGUGUUCUGAAGUUUAAAGUGUCAAAGGCUGUUGGAUUUAAACAGAUCUUGUAUGACUCUCUGUUUCAUCUCUUCAGAGGUUGAUAGUAAGCAACUUUGGCAGCAACUCACAGCUUCUGCUGUAACAUGAGGCUAAUAAUGACGACUUUAUAAGGUUGUUGCAAAGAGUCAGGGAUGCCACAAGCAACGUUCUUUAUAUAUGCAGAAUUUUAAAAAUAAAGUAAAUAAAAAUAUUCCUUCCUCUAUUCCCCAUUUUUCUAACAUUAUUUGCAACUGGUGUUUUAAUGCAAGACCAAAGGCUAAAAUAUACAUGUAGCUAGCAGAAUCAAAACCUAGAUCAGAUGUUCAAAAGCAUCAUGCUGCUAAAAGAUUUCAGAGUCUAAAACCUGUGCUCACUCUUCUGAAACAUCUUUCCACUUCCUGUUUAAAAAAAAACGUGAUAUUCUUUGAAGCUCAUUUUUUGGGCUUCAUGUGUUGUAAUUAUACAUUUGUUAUAUAGGGUAUAUGAUGACUUACGCUCUAAGGUAUUAUUCAGUACAUUGUAGAAAAAGGAGAAUAAAGAAUGUUGUUUGUCAGUAGGCAGCUCUGUCCUCUUUAUCCUUGACUGUAAUUUACUAAAGAGCUGACAAAAUUACAGCACAGGCAGCAAUUCACCAUAUUACCCUGCAGACAGCCAAGAGACUGACAUUGAGAUGAUGCGUUUUAACUUGGGUCCAUGUAAGGAACCUGAUGGGGUUAUAUGAAUUCUUUUCUGUACUAUGAAAAAAUGAAGUUGCUAAUAAGAAGGAGGUACAAAAGUGUGUACUCUGCGCAAGGCUACUGAUAAAGAUGCUACAGGGAUGCGUGGAAACCCAAUAUGUAACACUGAAAUGGCUUUUGAUUCAUUUGUAUUUGGUCUCAGACAAGAAAAUAGAUUAAGAAAAGGUCUGAAAAAAUGGAGCACUAGGAAAAAUGAUAGGAAAUUUUGUGUUGUUGAUAGUUAUCUAAUAUGAAAUACACGUUUGUAAUAUUUUGACAUAUAUGAUUUAAUACAACUAUAUUUUGUAAUAAAUAUCUUUAAUUCUAAGGAUUGAAAAUCUUAAAAGGAUCUAAAUUUUAUAGUUAUAGCUGUUUUGUUUCAAUAGGCUGAUGGACUUGGAAAUUCCAGGUUUCUUAAACAUAUUCGAUGAACUUGAAAAGCAGGGGGAGAUACUUUCAGAUGGCCUUGAAUGGGAGCGGGGGGACCCUGGAUUUCACUGGACACAUCUUUCUUCCUUUCUUCUCUGUAGUUUGGGACCUCUUCUUCUCAACUAGUCAGCAAUUAUAAGAAUGAAAAUUACCAGCCGGGCGCGAUGGCUCACGCCUGUAAUCCCAGCCCUUUGGGAGGCCAAGGCGGGGGGAUCACGAGGUCAGAAGAUCGAGACCAUCCUGGCUAACACGGUGAAACCCCGUCUCUACUAAAAAAUACAAAGAAUCAGCCGGGCAUGGUGGCGGGUGCCUGUAGUCCCAGCUACUCAGGAGACUGAGGCAGGAGAAUGGUGUGAAUC
rnacentral:lncRNA from 1 species